CCAGGAAAAGAGUUGGAAGCUAGCAAUGUUCCAACGCUGUUUGUGACAUUUCCUCGGAAACUUGUGCCGAUGGGCCUGUUUACGAAGCUUCAAGUGAAGUUAAUUUCUGAGUGUGAAAAGCGCUUCCCCCAUCAACAAGCCACGCCUUCUUUCUACUGCAACUACUCCUCGCUUCUGUUUAUUAUAGACGGCGACGUGUAUGAUGUUCAUUUAAUCGACCUUCACGAGUUCAUUAAAGUUGCCGUUUUUCCAAAACAGGAUGGCAACCAUUUCAAGUUUGCCAGUUAUUUC